AUUGAACGCUGGCGGCAGGCCUAACACAUGCAAGUCGAGCGGAUGAAGGGAGCUUGCUCCUGGAUUCAGCGGCGGACGGGUGAGUAAUGCCUAGGAAUCUGCCUGGUAGUGGGGGAUAACGUCCGGAAACGGGCGCUAAUACCGCAUACGUCCUGAGGGAGAAAGUGGGGGAUCUUCGGACCUCACGCUAUCAGAUGAGCCUAGGUCGGAUUAGAUAGUUGGUGGGGUAAAGGCCUACCAAGGCGACGAUCCGUAACUGGUCUGAGAGGGUGAUCAGUGACACUGGAACUGAGACACGGUCGAGACACAGACGGGAGGAAGCAGUAGGGAAUCUUACGCAAUGUGCGAAAGCCUGACGGAGCAAUGCCGCGUGAGUGAGGAAGUUCUGCGGAUCGUAAAACUUUGUUAUUAGGGAAGAACAAAUGUGUAAGUAACUCUGCACGUCGUGACGGUACCUAAUAAGAAAGCCACGGCUAACUACGUG
rnacentral:rRNA from 1 species